GUUCAUUUCCCACACUUAACCAAAAAAAUUCCCCGCCCCUCUUUCUCACACUUAAGCAAAAUAUUCAGCCUACCUCCCGAAACAUUCAGUCUCCCUCCUCCCUCCCGACACAUCUCCCUCUCCCUCUUCCCUCCCGACACUUCCCACCUCUCACUCCCUCGCUCCUCCGCCUCAUCUCUCACAUAUCUCUAGUGUCUCUCACAUCUCCGCUGCAUCAAAUUAGGGUUUCAAUUGAACCCCAAAUUGGAUGAAGCAUCAAAUUGAUCUGGAGGUUUGGAGGCUUGAAGAGGUUCCACUGAACUUGAAGAGUUUACAGUGAGCUUGAAGAGGUUUGUUUUAUUUUGUUUGUGUAUAGCUUUGUUAUAAGCUUUUCUUCAGUGCAUAUCUGUCUUGAGGUUAUAGAAUUAGAUGUAUCUUCCUAAGCUAAAACUUAAUUUUCGAGGGUCUUUGUGAGUUAAAUUGUAUUUGUUUUGUGGAAAUUGGAUAUUUGAAAAGAUUAUAUAUGUUUGUGUAUCUAUAAUUGUAUACUAUGCGUUUGGGUUUGAUCCUCAAAUAAGCAGGAAUUCAGAUACAGUCAGAUGCUUUGAAGUAGGAGCCAAAAGGAAUAUAAAAGCAGCUUGCAACUUAGCUAGAGUUGAAAUCCAAUACAAACACAUCCUAUGCAAUAAUAGUUACUAACAGAAUGGUCUAGAUGUGGAUUACAGGGAAUCUGAAUGCUAUAUCACAGUUUCUAUAUAACAGAAUGGUAUUGAUUACUAUCACUGCCAUGAAAUUAUAACUAUAUGUUUCUUACUUUCCUUUAAACUAGCCUGUCAGAUUUUUUGUUGCAUAUGUGAUAUAAGAAGACCGAAGCAUCAGAUUUUCAUUUGAUAAAAGCUGUGUUGUCUACGAAUACCAUGAGUUUCGGCUUGGCGCUGAGGAGAAAGCUUUGUCACAAUUUGUUGAACCGCGAACGUCAUGAAGUUUCAGCCUGCUAAUGAGCUGGUUAUUGGGUUACCAAUUGUGUUUGAACUGUAAUGUAUUCGGAGAAAUUGUGCUUGGUUGGAUGAAAACUAUUGCAUGGAUUGUAUUUGGUAGUUAGGUACCUAGUUUUUUGGAUUUGGAAUUCGAGAAGCGGAUAUAUAUGAUUGUUUUUGUGAUCUCUUGGUUGUAUAUACAUAUAUGUAUAUGGCUUGUUUGCAUUUUGAUUUGGUA